rnacentral:rRNA from 1 species
GACGAACGCUGGCGGCGUGCCUAAUACAUGCAAGUAGAACGCUGAAGGAGGAGCUUGCUUCUCUGGAUGAGUUGCGAACGGGUGAGUAACGCGUAGGUAACCUGCCUGGUAGCGGGGGAUAACUAUUGGAAACGAUAGCUAAUACCGCAUAAUAGUAGAUGUUGCAUGACAUUUGCUUAAAAGGUGCAAUUGCAUCACUACCAGAUGGACCUGCGUUGUAUUAGCUAGUUGGUGGGGUAACGGCUCACCAAGGCGACGAUACAUAGCCGACCUGAGAGGGUGAUCGGCCACACUGGGACUGAGACACGGCCCAGACUCCUACGGGAGGCAGCAGUAGGGAAUCUUCGGCAAUGGACGGAAGUCUGACCGAGCAACGCCGCGUGAGUGAAGAAGGUUUUCGGAUCGUAAAGCUCUGUUGUAAGAGAAGAACGAGUGUGAGAGUGGAAAGUUCACACUGUGACGGUAUCUCACCAGAAAGGGACGGCUAACUACGUG